UAUUUUUUAAUACUGGCCUCUGCCCUAUGUUUUUUAAAUGGCAGUCUUAGCGUGAGGACAUUAAGGUAGCAAAAUAAUUUGUGCUUUUAAUGGGUUCUAGUAUGAAUGAGGUUUUUGGUUAAUUAUUUAUUUGAUUUUUUAUGAAUUAAUAUUCUAUUUAAGAAUUAAUAGUUAUGGUUAAACAAAGAUAAGUCUUCGAAAAUUUUUUUAUUAAGGUAGCUUUUGUUAUUUUAAUAUUUUUUCUAGGGUAGUGUGAUUAUAUAAUUUUUGUUACUAUUAAUAUUUAAAAAAAUUACUUCGGAGUUAACAGAAAAUCAUACCUUGACUAGUUUCUUAUAGUAUGGGUAAGUUUUACAUCGAUGUUGUAUCCCAGUUGUGUCAGAGAGGAGUAGGCUGAAUUUUUUAGACUGUUCUUCUGUAAAUAAACUGGACGUGAUAUUAGUUUAAUUCAUCC
rnacentral:rRNA from 1 species